UGAAAGUGCGUGUGUAAGAAUUUGCAGAUAUUUUAAAAUGUUUAUUUAAACAAGAGCAGCGGAUCCGUACGAUACUCAGCAAAGUUGAAGUAUAUUCUGAUACGGAUUAAAAUCAAGACUCGGAAAAGUGCAACAAAAUGAAUUUAACAUUUUUAAUCGUUUUGGGUUUACUCAAGGUUUUUUCAAGUGAGGGACAAAAUAAAUAUGAUAGGGAUCGUGUAUAUUUUCCUGAUACUUUGUCAAAAGUGCUCCUAGCUAUCAACGCCACAAAUGGUGCAAAACAUCCUGACAUCUCAUUUCGAAGUGGAAUAUGGAACACUGAUCCCGUGGAUCCUCUCCCAACAAGAAAGACGCACCGUGUAAAUAAGAAAAGUUAAUGUUAUAAAAUAAUUAACAAUGUAUUUCCAAAUUGUUGCUUUUUGACAAUGAAAAUAAAUCAAGAUUUUUGUGCUUAAAAACA